rnacentral:rRNA from 1 species
UACGUAGGGGGCAAGCAUUAUCCGGAGUGACUGGGCGUAAAGAGUUGCGUAGGUGGUUAGUAAAGCGAAUAGUGAAACCUGGUGGCUCAACCAUACAGACUAUUAUUCGAACUCACUAACUCGAGAGUGGUAGAGGUAACUGGAAUUUCUUGUGUAGGAGUGAAAUCCGUAGAUAUAAGAAGGAACACCAAUGGCGUAGGCAGGUUACUGGACCAUUUCUGACACUAAGGCACGAAAGCGUGGGGAGCGAACCGG